ensembl:lncRNA
GACAAAGAUGAGGACUGAAGUCAAGCCAAAGUCUUGCUCUGCCUCCAAAAGCCUCUCAGCCAUGCUGCGCAAGAAUGUGCUAUCCUGGGAUGACAAAGGACAGUCUUUAUUCAGUAAAAAGUGGAUUGCCACUGUGUGUGAGAAGAGCAAGCAGGCACAAUGACUGUCAGUUCAAAGGAAAAAAGAAAACCUGAAGAUAUCCAUGCUAAGCAAAUACUCCGCAUUAGUACUGAAACUAUCACCGCAGCCUAUUUGACCACAGUCAUGCAAGGAUAUACUCAGACAGUUCUCUUGGUGGAAGACAUAAUGAUGGCUUUAAAGUCAGGGGUAUCAACCCAAUGGG